AAGGAUAGAGGAGCAAAGACCAUCAGUACACAGUAAGAGGAUAAUGAGAUCCUAAGACGAUUGUGGAAAGGGGAAUUUGCCGAAGCUUUUGAGAGCCUCAUUAUCUCGAAGCUGGUUCUGUUAUUGAACAAAUGCAGGACUGUCAUAUAGGUUUCUAUAUGGAGGGCUAUCUU
rnacentral:ncRNA from 1 species